rnacentral:rRNA from 1 species
AAGUCGUAACAAGGUUUCCGUAGGUGAACCUGCGGAAGGAUCAUUACAGUAGUCGCCCGGGUUGCCGCAAGGCCUCCCGGGUAACCUACCACCCUUUGUUUAUUACACUUUGUUGCUUUGGCAAGCCUGCCCUCGGGCUGCUGGCUCCGGCCGGCGAGCGCUUGCCAGAGGACCUAAACUCUGUUUGUCUAUACUGUCUGAGUACUAUAUAAUAGUUAAAACUUUCAACAACGGAUCUCUUGGUUCUGGCAUCGAUGAAGAACGCAGCGAAAUGCGAUAAGUAAUGUGAAUUGCAGAAUUCAGUGAAUCAUCGAAUCUUUGAACGCACAUUGCGCCCCCUGGUAUUCCGGGGGGGCAUGCCUGUCCGAGCGUCAUUACAACCCUCAAGCUCAGCUUGGUGUUGGGCCCCGCCGCCCCGGCGGCCCUAAAGUCAGUGGCGGUGCCGUCCGGCUCCGAGCGUAGUAAUUCUCUCGCUCUGGAGGUCCGGUCGUGUGCUCGCCAGCAACCCCCAAUUUUUUUCAGGUUGACCUCGGAUCAGGUAGGGAUACCCGCUGAACUUAAGCAUAUCAAUAAGCGGAGGAAAAGAAACCAACAGGGAUUACCUCAGUAACGGCGAGUGAAGCGGUAACAGCUCAAAUUUGAAAUCUGGCCUCACGGUCCGAGUUGUAAUUUGUAGAGGAUGCUUCGAGCAUGGUCUGGCCUAAGUUCCUUGGAACAGGACGUCAUAGAGGGUGAGAAUCCCGUAUGCGGCCAGGUGCCUACGCUCAUGUGAAGCUCCUCCGACGAGUCGAGUUGUUUGGGAAUGCAGCUCAAAAUGGGUGGUAAAUUUCAUCUAAAGCUAAAUAUUGGCCAGAGACCGAUAGCGCACAAGUAGAGUGAUCGAAAGAUGAAAAGCACUUUGGAAAGAGAGUUAAACAGUACGUGAAAUUGUUGAAAGGGAAGCGCUUGCAACCAGACUUGCGCGCGGCCGAUCAUCCGGUGUUCUCACCGGUGCACUCGGCCGUGCUCAGGCCAGCAUCGGUUUUGGCGGCUGGAUAAAGGCCCUAGGAAUGUAGCUCCUCUUGGGGAGUGUUAUAGCCUAGGGUGCAAUGCAGCCUGCUGGGACCGAGGACCGCGCUUCGGCUAGGAUGCUGGCGUAAUGGUUGUAAGCGGCC